rnacentral:rRNA from 1 species
GUACGCUAUUCAGAGUUUGAUCCUGGCUCAGGAUGAACGCUAGCGGCAGGCUUAACACAUGCAAGUCGAGGGGCAGCAUGAGACGGAGAUUCGUCGAAGUCUUGAUGGCGACCGGCGCAAGGGUGCGUUAACGCGUGAGCAACUUGCCCGUUUCUGGGGAAUAACCGGUGGAAACGCCGACUAAUACCCCAUAGCAUAGCAGAGAGGCAUCUCUUUGUUAUUAAAGAAUUUCGGAAACGGAUAGGCUCGCGUGACAUUAGCUAGAUGGCGGGGUAACGGCCCACCAUGGCGACGAUGUCUAGGGGUUCUGAGAGGAAGGUCCCCCACACUGGAACUGAGACACGGUCCAG